AUUGAACGCUGGCGGCAGGCUUAACACAUGCAAGUCGAGCGGAGAUGAGGUGCUUGCACCUUAUCUUAGCGGCGGACGGGUGAGUAAUGCUUAGGAAUCUGCCUAUUAGUGGGGGACAACAUUCCGAAAGGAAUGCUAAUACCGCAUACGUCCUACGGGAGAAAGCAGGGGAUCUUCGGACCUUGCGCUAAUAGAUGAGCCUAAGUCGGAUUAGCUAGUUGGUGGGGUAAAGGCCUACCAAGGCGACGAUCUGUAGCGGGUCUGAGAGGAUGAUCCGCCCAAAUGGGACUGAGACACGGCCCAGACUCCUACGGGAGGCAGCAGUGGGGAAUAUUGGACAAUGGGGGGAACCCCGAUCCAGCCAUGCCGCGUGUGUGAAGAAGGCCUUAUGGUUGUAAAGCACUUUAAGCGAGGAGGAGGCUACUGAGACUAAUACUCUUGGAUAGUGGACGUUACUCGCAGAAUAAGCACCGGCUAACUCUGUGCCAGCCGCCGCAGUAAGAC
rnacentral:rRNA from 1 species